UGUGCCCUACAAGACGUUCUAUAAACAAAAUUUUAGUUGCAUUUAAGAGCCAAUUGUGAGCACGAUAAAAAAGAUAUAACCAUAAAGAAUCUUGAAACUACGAGUAUACGCGCAUCGGUUAUAGUGUUCGGCAGUGGAGACAAGUGGAGUUUGUCGACGGCCUUUAAGCUGCCUGUGUAGAUACAAUAUGAGAAAGAUGUCGUAAAUUGCAGUGAAGUUAAGCGUUGUACAAGCGAGAUGUGAACUAACAAGGUGCGAAGCAUCGCCGUACAUAACGAUCGCACGUCACGACAUCUAUAGGCAGAGAGCCCGUGGUAAGGUAUUCAUUUUUUAUUGUUUACUUAAUUCGCAUUACGUCUCUUUAUGUGAAUACUGCUAAACUAAAGAUUUUCUGUUCGUUUUUAUAAGUUCUGGUUCUAAAUGUGAUUUUGUAAAAAUAAUUCUGAUUAUUACGGCUGGCUGCUGCAUUAAAAAAACAUUUUCUGUUUUUUAAAAGGGUUGACAUUUUUAUUUAUUUAAUCAUAGCCAAGAAAGCAGUAAUUUUUGGUAAUUAGGUUUGCAUAUAGAGCAUAACUAGAUACCAAAUAUCAGGCUUGUCAAUUAAAUACUUUUAUAUAAACAAGUUCGAAAACUUACAAAAUAUUAAAAACUCGGAAUUCCCAGUAAUGGGAAUUUCUAUGGUACAAAAUUUUCAUUAGUCAAAAGUAUCUAACUAAUGAAAAUUUUAUGUGACGAGCUGGCCAAAACACCUCCUAUUAUUAUAUCAGGCUUUUAUUCCUUCACGAAAUACUUUCACUAGCCAGUUUUUAUUAUAAGCUCCAGUGAUAGAAUAUCCUCGUAACCGAAUUUAGUAAAUGUGAGCGCAAACACAGGUGCACUAUCCUUUACUAUUAUAAUCCGAUUGGACGGCAUUCCGGCACGACCGGAAUGAGUGUUACGACACGGAGGUGAAACGUCACGAUUAUCCUUAUUUUACUGUAUUUCGAAUAUUGUUAUAAUGGUUUAUUUUUAUAACUUAUGAGUUACUUACACCGUUUCCAGUGUCAAUUUUGUUCGGUAAAAUGGAGCUGUAUUUUAUUUUUAAUUUUGUAGCCUAUAUUAUUGCUAGUUUUUUUUCUGUUUAUCGUUUUUAAGGUUCUGUCCCUACAUCUGAGGCCCUGCUGUCUGUCUGUCCGUCUGACACCAGGCUGUAUCUGAAGAACCGUGAUAGCUACGCAGUUCAAGUUUUAACCGAAGAUAUUUACGUUGCCGCGACACAAAGAUCAAGUUAAGCAACGCAAAAAGCUUUCUCACCUCCUUGGUCACUAAGCAUGUUUUUUCCAAUAUUAUGUAGGUACAAGGAUAUACUUUCAGAUGGUAUAUACACGUUCUUCUUUUGCAUUCAUGGGUGUUAUUAAAAAUGCGCGCCGCACACCGGCCCGGUGACGGUCGUACUACGCAAUAGCAAAUA